AGUCCCGUGGUGUAGCGGCCAAUCAUCUGGGCCUUUGGAGCCUAGGACAGCGGUUCGAAUCCGCUCGGGACUA
rfam:Halogranum salarium B-1 162.HSB1.1_3, whole genome shotgun sequence.